GGGGAUGAAAGGUUUCGACGGGGCAGAGAUUCGUUUGCGUGCUGCAAGCCGAGGCGCCUGACCUCGUUAACAACGGGCAACACAAUAAGUGCCAAAAACACUGGCAAGGCCUUCAACUUCGGCUUCGCCCGCACCAACGCCUACGCGCUGGCUGCGUAAGCAAGCGGAAGCAGGCAUGACCGCUUGAGAUAGCGGUCACGGCCCCAGGUGCGGGUCCCGGCAGCGCACCUGGUCCGCCGUCAUAGACUGCAGGGUGCUGUCCGGCGGACGCCGAUAAGCCGGGCAAAAGAUGCAUCGGCUAGCCCGAACCGUGGGCGGGGUCACAGCCGCCCCUCGGGCGAAACAGCAAGCUGUGACUAAGCUUGUAGACGCACGCAGGCGACUGUCCCGGACCGGGGUUCGAUUCCCCGCAUCUCCACCU
rnacentral:tmRNA from 2 species